CACGUUGCCAACACCCCCCCGAUCUACGACUCUCUCUCUCUCCAAUCUCUCUACGCCACAGAAUCCUCGAUUUACCAAAAAAAUCACAAAAAAUCUCCGAUCGUUAACGGCGACCGCCGAUUUUCCCGGUAAAAGAUGAACGACGGAGAUGUAUCUAGGCAGAUCCAGCAGAUGGUGAGAUUCAUCCGCCAAGAAGCCGAGGAGAAGGCCAACGAGAUCUCAGUUUCUGCUGAAGAAGAAUUCAACAUUGAGAAACUUCAACUAGUUGAGGCGGAGAAGAAGAAGAUCAGGCAAGAUUAUGA